AAAUUGAAGAGUUUGAUCAUGGCUCAGAUUGAACGCUGGCGGCAGGCCUAACACAUGCAAGUCGAACGGUAACAGGAAGCAGCUUGCUGCUUUGCUGACGAGUGGCGGACGGGUGAGUAAUGUCUGGGAAACUGCCUGAUGGAGGGGGAUAACUACUGGAAACGGUAGCUAAUACCGCAUAACGUCGCAAGACCAAAGAGGGGGACCUUCGGGCCUCUUGCCAUCGGAUGUGCCCAGAUGGGAUUAGCUAGUAGGUGGGGUAACGGCUCACCUAGGCGACGAUCCCUAGCUGGUCUGAGAGGAUGACCAGCCACACUGGAACUGAGACACGGUCCAGACUCCUACGGGAGGCAGCAGUGGGGAAUAUUGCACAAUGGGCGCAAGCCUGAUGCAGCCAUGCCGCGUGUAUGAAGAAGGCCUUCGGGUUGUAAAGUACUUUCAGCGGGGAGGAAGGCGAUAAGGUUAAUAACCUUGUCGAUUGACGUUACCCGCAGAAGAAGCACCGGCUAACUCCGUGCCAGCAGCCGCGGUAAUACGGAGGGUGCAAGCGUUAAUCGGAAUUACUGGGCGUAAAGCGCACGCAGGCGGUCUGUCAAGUCGGAUGUGAAAUCCCCGGGCUCAACCUGGGAACUGCAUUCGAAACUGGCAGGCUAGAGUCUUGUAGAGGGGGGUAGAAUUCCAGGUGUAGCGGUGAAAUGCGUAGAGAUCUGGAGGAAUACCGGUGGCGAAGGCGGCCCCCUGGACAAAGACUGACGCUCAGGUGCGAAAGCGUGGGGAGCAAACAGGAUUAGAUACCCUGGUAGUCCACGCCGUAAACGAUGUCGACUUGGAGGUUGUGCCCUUGAGGCGUGGCUUCCGGAGCUAACGCGUUAAGUCGACCGCCUGGGGAGUACGGCCGCAAGGUUAAAACUCAAAUGAAUUGACGGGGGCCCGCACAAGCGGUGGAGCAUGUGGUUUAAUUCGAUGCAACGCGAAGAACCUUACCUACUCUUGACAUCCAGAGAACUUAGCAGAGAUGCUUUGGUGCCUUCGGGAACUCUGAGACAGGUGCUGCAUGGCUGUCGUCAGCUCGUGUUGUGAAAUGUUGGGUUAAGUCCCGCAACGAGCGCAACCCUUAUCCUUUGUUGCCAGCGGUCCGGCCGGGAACUCAAAGGAGACUGCCAGUGAUAAACUGGAGGAAGGUGGGGAUGACGUCAAGUCAUCAUGGCCCUUACGAGUAGGGCUACACACGUGCUACAAUGGCGCAUACAAAGAGAAGCGACCUCGCGAGAGCAAGCGGACCUCAUAAAGUGCGUCGUAGUCCGGAUUGGAGUCUGCAACUCGACUCCAUGAAGUCGGAAUCGCUAGUAAUCGUGGAUCAGAAUGCCACGGUGAAUACGUUCCCGGGCCUUGUACACACCGCCCGUCACACCAUGGGAGUGGGUUGCAAAAGAAGUAGGUAGCUUAACCUUCGGGAGGGCGCUUACCACUUUGUGAUUCAUGACUGGGGUGAAGUCGUAACAAGGUAACCGUAGGGGAACCUGCGGUUGGAUCACCUCCUUACCUUAAAGAA
rnacentral:rRNA from 5 species